UCAAACUUGGUCAUUUAGAGGAAGUAAAAGUCGUAACAAGGUCUCCGUUGGUGAACCAGCGGAGGGAUCAUUACCGAGUUAUCCAACUCCCAACCCCCUGUGAAUUAUACCUUUAAUUGUUGCUUCGGCGGGACUUCGCGCCCGCCAGGGACCCAAACCUUCUGAAUUUUUCAAUAAGUAUCUUCUGAGUGGUUAAAAAAAUGAAUCAAAACUUUCAACAACGGAUCUCUUGGUUCUGGCAUCGAUGAAGAACGCAGC
rnacentral:misc_RNA from 1 species